UACAGAGGUCUCAAGCGUUGUUCGGAUUCAUUGGGAGUAAAGGGUGCGUAGGUGGCGCGGUAAGUCGGGUGUGAAAUUUCGGAGCUUAACUCCGAAACUGCAUUCGAUACUGCCGGGCUUGAGGACUGGAGAGGAGAGUGGAAUUUACGGUGUAGCAGUGAAAUGCGUAGAGAUCGUAAGGAAGACCAGUGGCGAAGGCGGGUCUCUGGACAGUUCCUGACACUGAGGCACGAAGGCCAGGGGAGCAAACGGG
rnacentral:rRNA from 1 species